rnacentral:snRNA from 1 species
UGAAUCACGUGUUUUGAUGAUAGCUGUUGACUUUAAUUUUGACAAAAUUCUCUCGACGAAAGAAAAAGUUGCUUGUCAUUGAAACGUAAGCCCCGUUCAGUUAGUCCAUAGAGGAAGAGGUGAAUAACUGUCGAACGGCCAUGAUAUCAUCGGCGGAGAGACCACAUAAGCUCCACACACGCGUCUCAGCAAUUUGAAUCUCUCCACCGCAAGAUUCUCUCGUUACCGAGGCCGCAUCUCUGCGGAUAAGUGGCCCGGGGACUUUCCUGGGUCGGAACUUGGACAAGCCCAUAUGACCCAUUCACUUCGUCCAGUGACAAUUGUGUUUGGUUUUACUUUGCAGAUGUAUAUAUAGAUACGUCAUAUUAUUCUUAUUACCGAUGUGGGAUGUUAACCUAAAACGUUUCAUAGUAUUAUUAACUUUCGUUUUUUCUGGGUUGAUGAAGUGAGGGAUUUAAUUUUAACUAGAGAAAAAUUGGACUUUGAAUUUUGAUGGGUUGAGCCAGGCCCGUGCAAUGA